GACGAACGCUGGCGGCGUGCUUAACACAUGCCAGUCGAACGGAAAGGCCCUGCUUUUGUGGGGUGCUCGAGUGGCGAACGGGUGAGUAACACGUGAGUAACCUGCCCUUGACUUUGGGAUAACUUCAGGAAACUGGGGCUAAUACCGGAUAGGAGCUCCUGCUGCAUGGUGGGGGUUGGAAAGUUUCGGCGGUUGGGGAUGGACUCGCGGCUUAUCAGCUUGUUGGUGGGGUAGUGGCUUACCAAGGCUUUGACGGGUAGCCGGCCUGAGAGGGUGACCGGCCACAUUGGGACUGAGAUACGGCCCAGACUCCUACGGGAGGCAGCAGUGGGGAAUAUUGCACAAUGGGCGGAAGCCUGAUGCAGCAACGCCGCGUGCGGGAUGACGGCCUUCGGGUUGAAAACCGCUUUCGCCUGUGACGAAGCGUGAGUGACGGUAAUGGGUAAAGAAGCACCGGCUAACUACGUGC
rnacentral:rRNA from 1 species